rnacentral:rRNA from 1 species
AGCUCCAAUAGCGUAUAUUAAUGUUGUUGCAGUUAAAAGCUCGUAGUUGGAUUUCGAAUGGGAGCGAUUGGUCGGCGCCGCAAGGCGUCGUUACUGAGUCGUCUCCGGUUCUUUUUCGGAAUUCGGCGUGGCUGGCAUUGAGUUGUCGGUGGCGUUGGUUCCGUCGUUUACUGUGAACAAAUUAGAGUGUUCAAAGCAAGGUGUUGCUUGAAUACAUUAGCAUGGAAUAAUAAGAUAGGGCUUUGGUGGUUCUGCUCUUCGGGGUAGAUAUUUUGUUGGUUUGCACAUCAAAGCAAUGAUUAAUAGGAGCAGUUGGGGGUAUUCGUAUUCAAUUGUCAGAGGUGAAAUUCUUGGAUUUCUAGAAGACGAACUACUGCGAAAGCAUUUACCA